rnacentral:rRNA from 1 species
CGGGUGAGUAACGCGUGGGUAACCUGCCUUAUACAGGGGGAUAACAGCCAGAAAUGACUGCUAAUACCGCAUAAGCGCACAGAGCUGCAUGGCUCGGUGUGAAAAACUCCGGUGGUAUAAGAUGGACCCGCGUUGGAUUAGCUAGUUGGUGAGGUAACGGCCCACCAAGGCGACGAUCCAUAGCCGGCCUGAGAGGGUGAACGGCCACAUUGGGACUGAGACACGGCCCAA